rnacentral:lncRNA from 1 species
CCAACCUGCUGUUGCAACUUCCUAUCAGAGCUCCUCUUGCCAGGAACAAAGCGACAGCCGUCUGCUGGUGAGCUGGGCUAAUCCUGUUAAACAAUUCACAGAUCUGACGCCGGACACGCUUUUUGAAACCUGAGGCCAGCCCAGGGACGAGGGUGCUGGUCCUGGGGGUGUCAAUGCGCUGGCACAUCCCGCUUGACCCUGGAGUGGCCGGAGAAAGCC